GAACGCUACGGCAGGCCUAACACAUGCAAGUCGAGGGGUAACAUAGGAGAGCUUGCUCUUUUGAUGACGACCGGCGCACGGGUGAGUAACGCGUAUACAAUCUACCUUGUACAGGAGUAUAGCCCAGGGAAACUUGGAUUAAUCCUCCAUAGUCUAUAUAAAUAGCCUUAUUAAUAUAGUAAAGAUUUAUCGGUACAAGAUGAGUAUGCGUCCUAUUAGUCUGUUGGUAAGGUAACGGCUUACCAAAACUACGAUAGGUAGGGGCCCUGAGAGGGGGAUCCCCCACACUGGUACUGAGACACGGACCAGACUCCUACGGGAGGCAGCAGUGAGGAAUAUUGGACAAUGGGUGAGAGCCUGAUCCAGCCAUGCCGCGUGCAGGAAGACGGCCCUAUGGGUUGUAAACUGCUUUUAUACGGGAAGAAACCUCCCCUCGUGAGGGGAGCUGACGGUACCGUAAGAAUAAGGACCGGCUAACUCCGUGCCAGCAGCCGCGGUAAUACGGAGGGUCCGAGCGUUAUCCGGAAUCAUUGGGUUUAAAGGGUCCGUAGGCGGGCAGCUCAGUCAGUGGUGAAAGUUUGCGGCUUAACCGUAAAAUUGCCAUUGAUACUGGUUGUCUUGAAUUGGUGUGAAGUGGUUAGAAUGAGUAGUGUAGCGGUGAAAUGCAUAGAUAUUACUCAGAAUACCAAUUGCGAAGGCAGAUCACUAACACUAUAUUGACGCUGAGGGACGAAAGCGUGGGAGCGA
rnacentral:rRNA from 1 species